AGAGUUUGAUUAUGGCUCAGGAUGAACGCUGGCGGCGUGCUUAACACAUGCAAGUCGAACGGAGAGCUAAUGACAGAGGAUUCGUCCAAUGGAAUUAGUUUCUUAGUGGCGGACGGGUGAGUAACGCGUGAGGAACCUGCCUCGGAGUGGGGAAUAACACAGUGAAAAUUGUGCUAAUACCGCAUGAUGCAGUUGAGUCGCAUGGCUCUGACUGCCAAAGAUUUAUCGCUCUGAGAUGGCCUCGCGUCUGAUUAGCUAGUUGGCGGGGUAACGGCCCACCAAGGCGACGAUCAGUAGCCGGACUGAGAGGUUGGCCGGCCACAUUGGGACUGAGACACGGCCCAG
rnacentral:rRNA from 1 species